rnacentral:rRNA from 1 species
UACGUAGGGACCAAGCGUUGUUCGGAUUUACUGGGCGUAAAGGGCGCGUAGGCGGCUUGACAAGUCACUUGUGAAAUCUCCGGGCUUAACUCGGAACGGCCAAGUGAAACUGUCAUGCUAGAGUGCAGAAGGGGCAAUCGGAAUUCUUGGUGUAGCGGUGAAAUGCGUAGAUAUCAAGAGGAACACCUGAGGUGAAGACGGGUUGCUGGGCUGACACUGACGCUGAGGCGCGAAAGCGUGGGGAGCAACAGG